rnacentral:rRNA from 1 species
UACGAAGGGGGCUAGCGUUGCUCGGAAUGACUGGGCGUAAAGGGCGCGUAGGCGGUUCGUACAGUCAGACGUGAAAUUCCCGGGCUCAACCUGGGGGCUGCGUUUGAUACGUGCGGGCUUGAGUUCGGAAGAGGGUCGUGGAAUUCCCAGUGUAGAGGUGAAAUUCGUAGAUAUUGGGAAGAACACCGGUGGCGAAGGCGGCGACCUGGUCCGAUACUGACGCUGAGGCGCGAAAGCAUGGGGAGCGAACAGG